AUGUCUGCCGUCACACUAUGCUUCGCCGCGAGGUCCAGCAUCUCCUGGGUGUCCCUCAUGCCGCCGAUGAAGCUCCCGGCCAGGGUCUUGUUCUCUGGAGGGACCUCGACAGGCUUCUCUGGGAGGCCGACCAUGACCAUCUUGCCGUUGGGCUUGAGCAGCCCGAAGAGAGGGGCCAUGGGGAUGUUUGCAGACACCGUGUUUAUGAUGCCAUCCAUGGUGCUCAUCGCAGGCAUACCUUCAUCUCGUCGGCGUUCUUGCUGA
rnacentral:rRNA from 1 species